UACGUAGGGUGCGAGCGUUGUCCGGAUUUAUUGGGCGUAAAGAGCUCGUAGGCGGUUUGUCGCGUCGGCCGUGAAAUCUCCACGCUUAACGUGGAGCGUGCGGUCGAUACGGGCAGACUUGAGUUCGGUAGGGGAGACUGGAAUUCCUGGUGUAGCGGUGAAAUGCGCAGAUAUCAGGAGGAACACCGGUGGCGAAGGCGGGUCUCUGGGCCGAAACUGACGCUGAGGAGCGAAAGCGUGGGGAGCAAACAGG
rnacentral:rRNA from 1 species